ACACAGAGACAAAGGACGAGCCGGGAAUGGAAAAACCGGUGCAAGCGAGGUAGCUUCAUGGGAGGGAAAGCCCCCAUGUAUAAGGCGAAUGCGUAAAGCGUAGCGAACUUAAAAGUAGCGAAGCGUGUGGAGUCACUGUCAGGAAAAGCCGCUAUUGCGUAUCAUGAACCCGUACCGUAAACCGACACAGGUGGAUGAGGAGAGAAUCCUAAGGCCGACGGAAGAAGCAUUGUUAAGGAAUUCGGCAAAAUGACCCCGUAACUUCGGGAGAAGGGGUGCCUACGAAUGUAGGCCGCAGAGAAUUGGCCCAAGCAACUGUUUAGCAAAAACACAGGUUUAUGCGAAACCGAAAGGUGAAGUAUAUGAGCUGACGCCUGCCCGGUGCUGGAAGGUUAAGGGGAGAGCUUAGAGGCAACUCGAAGGUUCGAACUUAAGCCCCAGUAAACGGCGGCCGUAACAAUAACGGUCCUAAGGUAGCGAAAUUCCUUGUCGGGUAAGUUCCGACCCGCACGAAAGGCGUAAUGAUUUGGGCACUGUCUCGACAAUGCAUCCGGUGAAAUUGAAAUACCAGUGAAGAUGCUGGUUACCCGCGCCAGGACGGAAAGACCCCAUGGAGCUUUACUCCAGUUUGAUGCUGGGAUUCGGUACUGCAUGUACAGGAUAGGCGGGAGACUAGGAAGAUAUAACGCCAGUUGUAUCAGAGUCGCUGUUGGGAUACCGCCCUUGUAGUACUGGGUUUCUAACCUGCCACCGUGAACCGGUGGAGGGACAACGUCAGGCGGGGAGUUUGACUGGGGCGGUCGCCUCCGAAAGGGUAUCGGAGGCGCUCAAAGGUUCCCUCAGAAUGGUUGGAAACCAUUCGAAGAGUGCAAAGGCAGAAGGGAGCUUGACUGCGAGGUCGACGGACCGAGCAGGUACGAAAGUAGGACUUAGUGAUCCGGUGGUAGAAAGUGGGAUUGCCAUCGCUCAACGGAUAAAAGCUACCCUGGGAUAACAGGCUAAUCACUCCCAAGAGUUCACAUCGACGGAGUGGUUUGGCACCUCGAUGUCGGCUCAUCGCAUCCUGGGGCUGUAGCAGGUCCCAAGGGUUGGGCUGUUCGCCCAUUAAAGCGGUACGCGAGCUGGGUUCAGAACGUCGUGAGACAGUUCGGUCCCUAUCCGGCGCGGGCGUAGGAUAUCUGAAAGGAGCUGGCCUUAGUACGAGGGACCGGGCUGGACGGACCGCUGGUGUAUCUGUUGUCAUACCAAUGGCAUAGCAGGGUAGCCAAGUCUGGAAGGGAUAAACGCUGAAGGCAUCUAAGCGUGAAGCCCCCCUUAAGAUAAGAUAUCCCUGGAGUUAAUCCAGUAAGACCCCUUGAAGAUGACGAGGUAGAUAGGGCAGAGGUGGAAGUGUGGUAACACAUGGAGCUGACUGUCACUAAUAGGUCGAGGGCUUGACCU
rnacentral:rRNA from 1 species